AGUGAACGCUGGCGGCAGGCCUAAUACAUGCAAGUCGAACGGCAGCACAGCAGAGCUUGCUCUGUGGGUGGCGAGUGGCGGACGGGUGAGGAAUACAUGGGAAUCUGCCCAGUCGUGGGGGAUAACGUAUGGAAACGUACGCUAAUACCGCAUGCGCCCUUUGGGGGAAAGCCGGGGACCUUCGGGCCUGGCGCGAUUGGAUGAGCCCAUGUUCGAUUAGCUAGUUGGCGGGGUAAAGGCCCACCAAGGCGACGAUCGAUAGCUGGUCUGAGAGGAUGAUCAGCCACACUGGGACUGAGACACGGCCCAGACUCCUACGGGAGGCAGCAGUAGGGAAUAUUGGACAAUGGGCGCAAGCCUGAUCCAGCCAUGCCGCGUGAGUGAAGAAGGCCCUCGGGUUGUAAAGCUCUUUUGUCCGGAAAGAAAGCAUUCGGUUAAUACCCGGGUGUUCUGACGGUACCGGAAGAAUAAGCACCGGCUAACUUCGUG
rnacentral:rRNA from 1 species